ensembl:snoRNA
UCGCAUGUGGAAAUAAGUCUGCUCCUCAUUUCUUUGGGAGCAGGAAUACAUCCAUAACAUGCUACAUUAAAAAAAGGAGUUCUCAGGGCUGCCAACCUUACAGUAGAGGUUGAGUAGUAGUAUAUUUCUCCUACAUAA